GCAAACUUGGUCAUUUAGAGGAAGUAAAAGUCGUAACAAGGUUUCCGUAGGUGAACCUGCGGAAGGAUCAUUAGCGAGAUGCUAUGUGUUUCUAAUAUUUAGGGCCACGCACGCCUGAGAUGUUGCGCGAAAGUGUGACUAAUGCGUGUGUGUGUAGUUUGGGGUUUGGCCCAAUUGGGCGGUGAGGAACCGCCCGCAGCAAGGAAUGUGGAGGGUACUCUGCUUUUUUAUGCGGCGGCGGGGAAGGAGCGCAUAUAUGCUUAAUGUAUAAUUUAUUACGAAUAACAAAUGGGAAGAGGAGGGGCUGAUAUAGUAAUAUAUGAGCCAAAUAAAGAAAUAUGAAACAACUUUUGGCAAUGGAUCUCUUGGCUCUUGCAUCGAUGAAGAACGCAGC
rnacentral:misc_RNA from 1 species